AGUCCGGACGAGUCAAGUCUAGAAAUUGCAUGCUUAAGUGAUAUUUCUGAAUCUGUUUGAUAUAAGUUGUUCUUGUAUGUUACAUGUUUAAUACAAUUGUAUGAAUUUAUAUAAUUAGCUCACCCUUGCCUUUGUUGUUUGUGUUUAUGUAUGUUGUUUGAUUCCCUGUUGCGAUGAUCAUCCAUUCUUGGAUGUGAGCAGAGGAGAAUGACGUCUCCGUUGAGAACGCUUUGGAGGAGAACCACAACACUGCUGCUGCUUAGUUC
rnacentral:lncRNA from 1 species